GACGAACGCUGGCGGCGUGCUUAACACAUGCAAGUCGAGCGGUAAGGCCCUUUCGGGGGUACGACGAGCGGCGAACGGGUAGAGUAACACGUGGGUGGACCUGCCCUCCAGCUCUGGGAUAAGCCUGGGAAACCGGGUCUAUACUGGAUAUGACUCCAUGACGCAUGUUGUGGGGUGGAAAGCCUUGUGCGGCUGAGGAUGGGCCCGCGGCCUAUCAGCUUGUUGGUGGGGUGA
rnacentral:rRNA from 1 species